GGUGUUGCACCUCUGUCCAUCUGGUUUGUUGUUUCCCUGUUUGUGGAUUUUGCCUGUCCACCAUUGGAUUUUGUUUCUUCUGUUUGAGCUUGCUUACCUGCUGUGAGCUACUGUUGCCUGCCUUCUCCAGUGGACAUUUGGGAGGAAGUUGAAGACUUCUGCCGAGAGGCCGUCAUUUCCAGAGUCAAAGCAAGGUCGUCAGCAUUGCCGGGGCUGAGGGAGGCCAUUCCUGGGUCACGGACUUCCUUUUUACCCAGAGACCUCAGCCUUCACUCCGGUCUACUAACAACCAGCAUGCUAGCCCUCUGUCAGUUAAGCUCAGGUACGUUGGUCUACAACCAGCCUGUCCUGAGCUGACCCAAACCCUGACCACAUUUGAAGGAACUUGUCUGGCUUUUGGAGGCCGCCAGCUUGGUUUCUGGCCUGCUAGCCAGCCUGCACCUCAGUCUGUUCCUGUCCAGCGUGGCUCCCGCCAACGUCGCGCCUCACUGCUGCCCUGCGCCGUGGAGGUCCUACUGUUCAUGGGUGCAGCAACCCACUGAGCCUGUGCUGUCAUCAGUCUUGCCUGUUCCUGCUAAGCUGUAACAGACACUAGUUCCUGAGUUGCAGCAACCUCCUGAACCCUCGGUGCUGCAGCAGCUCCCUGAACUCCCUGUUCGAUCGUAGCAGCCAUGUCUUGGGCCGCAACCAUCUCCAGUUCUAGUUGAGCUGAACUCUCUGAGAUGCAGCAAACUCCUACCACUGCUGGAUUGCAGCCAUACCCUGGUCCGGUUGGGCCGCAACCUCCUGAACUCUGUGCUGCAGCAGUCACACGAUCCUCUUGAGCUGCAACAUCCUCCUGAUCUCCCUGUUGGGCUGCAACAACAGGGGCUGUCCGCCUGAGGUUCCCGGCCCCAUUUCUGUCCUGCCCCCAGGCCGUCAGCAUGAGGUCUUCCACCCAAUAAAACCCUCUUGAUCAUAAUAGUAAAAUUUAAAUAAAGAUUAAAAUAGAAUGCAUGAGAUGGAAUAAUAAUAAUAAUAAUAAUAAUACAAAAUUUUAUUUUUACAGCAUAUCUCAUGCAAAGAUGCAGGACAAAGUGCUUCACAAGACAUCAAUAAUAAACAAAGGCAAAAGAAAAUAACAGUUAAAUGAUACCAGCAAUAUCAACCCAAAUUAGAAAAGUUAAAAAGAGGUCUUUAUUUUUAAAAAUACUAAGGGAGGGCUUUCCACAUUUUAGGGCCAUAAAAACAGAAAGCAACCUCCCCAGAUUUCUUGUGAGACACUUUAGUAUCUUCUAAAAAGGCAGUGGAAAAUCUGAGUUCUUGCUGGGACAUAAAAUGAGAGGCAUUCCCUAAUGUGUGAGGGUGCUAGAUUAUGUAAUGCUUUGUACACAAGUAAAAGGACUUUAAAAUCAAUUCCAGAAGAUGCAGGGAGCCACUGCAGUGAUGCGAGGAGAGGGGUAAUGUGAUCUCGCUUUUUUUGUAUUGGUCAAAAUCCUGGCUGCAGCGUUGUGAAUUAUCUGUCAUUUUCUUAGACUUUUUAGGGAGACCAGUGAAUAGAGAGUUGUAGUUUAAGCGACUAGUAAUAAAAGAAUGUAUCAGCAAUUCAGCAUCAUUCUGAGUUAAAUGAUCUAAUUUUGGCAAUGUUCCUCAGAUGGAAAAACUAUAAUUUUUGUGACCUUGUUUAAAAUUGCUAAUAAAGUUAAGAUCAGAGUCUAAAACCACUCCCAGAUCAGUAACGUGUCUGAUUUGCUUCGACAGGCUAGCAAGCACUGACUCAAGUCUCUGCCCUUCUGCUUUUUGGAGGGGCUGUUUUUUUUUUUUUUUUCAAUGAGUAAAAUUUCUGUUUUCUCCUCAUAGCUUUUUAGUCAGUGAGACAGGUAAAAAGAGCAUUUAAAGAUCUGUGGUUGUCUGGUGAAACAAAGAUGUAAAGUCUGUGAUAUUUGACAUUAUGGUGAUUUAAUUAUGUUGUCCAGAGGGAGCAUGUAUAAACAAAAGAGAAUAGGACCCAGAAUGCUUCCCUGCAGAACGCCGUAUUUUAUGUCAAGUGUCUAUGACAGACAUCUAAACUAACAAAGAAUUCUUUCAGACAGGUAUGAGUGAAACCAGUUGAACACUGUGCCAGAGAGACCAACCCAUUUCUCAAGUCGAUUGAUUAAAAUGCCAUGAUCAAUUGUAUCAAAUGCAGCCCUCAAAUCUAACGAAAAGAGGACUGCUACAUUCUUUUUAAUAAAGCGGUUUAAAAUAUUACUUUAACAUAUAACUUACUGAGUAACUUGAGUGGACUUUAUUUAACUUGAGUAA